AGCCUCCAGAUUAUUAGAUGUAAACCUUGGUCUGAGUUGCUCUAAAAGGAGGGAAAGUAAAACAGAAACAGACUCGGAUUCUCUCAAGACAUGCCAGUUGGUCUCAAACAAAA
rnacentral:snoRNA from 1 species